rfam:Salmo salar isolate Sally breed double haploid chromosome ssa21, whole genome shotgun sequence.
UGCAGUCAAUACUGUAAGCCGCUUUGGAUAAAAGCGUCUGCUAAAUGACAAAUG